GCCGAAUGUGUGAGAGUUUCAGGUAUUUGCAGUUAAAACAAAACAAAAAAAAAAAGAUUAUUAAGGCACGGUAAAAUUACAGGAAUGUUACAUCUCCUGCUUCUCGCUCUUUUGCUCAGGGAAAGUAUGGGAGGUCCCAUAUUUAGAAGGACUAAUGAUCGUACUCCAGAUACUGAGUUCUAUUAUUCCAGCAACCUUCGACCCUAUAUUGGUCAUACUGAUGAAGGACAAUCCAUUUGAACUGAGAAGGUGGCAGCGAAUGAACCCCUCCUACUUCAAACGAGCCCCUCCCACUUCUAUGGCCAUCAGUGACAGCCAAUGCCAGGCAACGAGUUCCAGCAUCAUCACCUUGUCAAGAGUCAAGAAUCUGCAUUGGACAAGGUGAUGACGCUGGAACUUUUGUUUGGUGCCGUUCCAGUGAGAUUUACAAAGACGACUGCCUGAAGAAAACAUCAAAAUUCCUUCAUUCCUUGAUGAUAUGUGGCUGCAUGUCAGGCAAAGGCACUGGGGAGAUGACUGUGGUUAAAUCUUCAAUAAAUGCACACGUUUACAUUGAAAUUUUAGACAGCUUUUUUAUCCCUUCAAUUGAAAAUAUGUUUAUCAUUUUCCAAGAUGACAAUGCAUCAUGCCACAGAGCUAAAACUGUUAAAGCAUUCCUUGGAGAAAAACUCAUCCAGUCAAUGUCAUGGCCUGAAAAUAGCCCAGAUCUCAACCUUAUUGAAAACCUGUGGUGGAAAUGGAAAAAAAAUGGUCCACAGCAAGGCUCCGACCUGCAAGGAUGAUCUGACAACUGCAAUCAAAGAGAGUUGGCACCAAAUUGAUGAAGAAUACUCAUCAUGACCAUGCCUCAGAGACCGCAAGCUGUCAGAAAAGCCAGAGGUGGUGCUACUAAAUACUAGAGAUGUGUUUUGAUUGUUUUUUUCUUUGUUUCUCAUGAUUCCAUAUAUUUUUCCUCAGAAUGGAGUGAUUCCAUAUAUAUUUCCCUGCACUUGCUCUAUAAAAGUAACAUUUACUGACCAGCACAAUGUUUUUAUUCAUUUCUUUUAGUCUUUCUGAAUGCUAAAGAGUUGCACUU